ACUAAGAUACAUAUUAGUUUACGUUGAUCAUGGAAUACUAAUCUUUGCUUUAUUUCUUGAUAGUAUUAACUCUACAAAUAGCAAUAUUAUAUUGUUUGUUUCAAUUCAUUUUUACGUUCUUAACGAAAUGAGGAAUAUAUUUGUUUUGCUAUGAUGUUUAUUUUUGAUUUGUUUUCCAGGUCUGUGAACAAAUUGUCUACUAGAAAUGUUGCUUCAAUAAUCAAUUUUUCUUUUUUUGUUGGUUUCUGGUAGAAAAUGUUGUUUAGUUAGUACAUCGGGUAGGUCAUGUUUUGGUUUUCCUUGUAGUUUUAUUAACUAUUUUGGAAAAUAAUGCAUGAAAAACGGUAAAAUGUAUACAAUACGUACGGUUUCUCAAUAACAGUUAUAUUUUUUCUAACCGAAUAAUUCGUGUGCCAUUUAAAAACAUAUUUUAUUUCAUUUUUUCAUACACCCCAUUUCAGAACUCGUA